GCGUCAAAUCCAUGGACCUUCUUGAAGACUCCGUUUUAGUAGAUGAAGAACAAGCUAACAGCCUUGAGAACAACAUGAUUGAUUUGGAGGGAGAACUGGCCUUAGACCUCUCUGAUGUUGACUAUGUCCCACCAAUAUGUGUGCGUGCUAGCAGUGCAAUUCAAAAGCCAUUGAUAGGCUUCCCAUUAUUGGACUGGAAGAGGCUGUUCUGGACAUCCAUGACCAUGAG